rfam:Candidatus Magasanikbacteria bacterium RIFCSPHIGHO2_02_FTLL_50_9b rifcsphigho2_02_scaffold_5461, whole genome shotgun sequence.
GGACUGGUAGUUCAGCUGGUUAGAACGUCCGCCUGUCACGCGGAAGGUCACGGGUUCGAACCCCGUCCAGUCCG